GUCUGGAUGGCCAAGCGGUCUAAGGCGCUGCGUUCAGGUCACAGUCACCCCUGGAGGCGUGGGUUCGAAUCCCACUCCUGACA
rfam:Callithrix jacchus chromosome 10, whole genome shotgun sequence